rnacentral:rRNA from 1 species
UUUUAUGAGAGUUUGAUCCUGGCUCAGGACGAACGCUGGCGGCGUGCCUAAUACAUGCAAGUCGAACGCUUCUUUUUCCACCGGAGCUUGCUCCACCGGAAAAAGAGGAGUGGCGAACGGGUGAGUAACACGUGGGUAACCUGCCCAUCAGAAGGGGAUAACACUUGGAAACAGGUGCUAAUACCGUAUAACAAUCAAAACCGCAUGGUUUUGAUUUGAAAGGCGCUUUCGGGUGUCGCUGAUGGAUGGACCCGCGGUGCAUUAGCUAGUUGGUGAGGUAACGGCUCACCAAGGCCACGAUGCAUAGCCGACCUGAGAGGGUGAUCGGCCACAUUGGGACUGAGACACGGCCCAAACUCCUACGGGAGGCAGCAGGAGGAAAUCUUCGGCAAUGGACGAGAGUCUGACCGAGCAACGCCGCGUGAGUGAAGAAGGUUUUCGGAUCGUAAAACUC